AUGGACUUCGGUACUGAUGAGGGCCAGCACGGCCAUGGCGACGGAGGCGAUGCGGCGGAGUGGAAGAAGGUGGCGGAGCUGAGGGCCGUCGCCGAGGCCCAGGACCCCGCGGCCAAGGAGGAGGACGAUUUCGUGCUGCGCCGGUUCCUGUGUGCUCGGGACUACAACAUUGGCAAGGCGUCGACGAUGCUCCUCCAGUACCUCGCCUGGAAGCGUGUCACCAAGCCCCAUGGCUCCAUCUCCGGCGAGGAGGUGCGCGACGAGAUCGUAAAGAAGAGGGUCGACAUGCAGGGCUUCGAUCGUCUUGGUCGCCCCAUGGCAUAUAUCUAUGGCGCACGCCACUUUCCCGCCCGGCGAGACCUUGACGGAUUCAAGCGCUAUGUAGCCUAUGUCCUCGACAAAAUAUGCACCAGGUCCGAGGAUAACAGUCCCGAGGAGCCUGAAGUGGGCGUCCUGUGGAGCGAUCUGCACAAGCUCGGCAUCGGCCUCGCUGGUGCGGCUCUUGAGCCCGGAGUGCGAGCCGCAGAACAUAGCGGCUUACGACAGGCCCGAACACAAGCCUGCAUAGUGGUAGUAUACCUUGGAGGCGAGGUUCUUGAUGAUCUAUCCCAGGAGAUGGAGACACAUUUAUCAGCACUUGUCGAGUGA
rnacentral:rRNA from 1 species